rnacentral:sRNA from 1 species
GACGAAUGCACAGAGGCGCUGGCAGAACCACGGGGGCAGGACCCCUCUCUGAGUCACAGAAUGGAGCUAAGUUGGUGAGGUCACCCAGGUAACAUCCCAAGCACAGGGUGCCACACCUGUGCAGCUACAGCAGCCUCCUGACCUCCCCAGAGCCGUGUCUAG